rfam:Alkaliphilus metalliredigens QYMF, complete genome.
AGAAUCCUUGUCGGGUAAGGUCUAACCAACCACCUGUAUCGAGUGUUGAGCCGAUGCUGGAGACAGCAAAGGUGAAGCGUACACAUAAGUAGAGAACC